rnacentral:rRNA from 1 species
AGGUAAGCUACUAAGAGCGAAUGGUGGAUGCCUUGACUGGUAAAGGCGAUGAAGGACGUACUAGACUGCGAUAAGCUACGGGGAGCUGUCAAGAAGCUUUGAUCCGUAGAUUUCCGAAUGGGGCAACCCAAUGUAUAGAGAUAUACAUUACCUAUAUAGGAGCGAACGAGGGGAAUUGAAACAUCUUAGUACCCUCAGGAAAAGAAAUCAAUAGAGAUUGCGUCAGUAGCGGCGAGCGAAAGCGCAAGAGGGCAAACCCAGUGCUUGCACUGGGGGUUGUAGGACUGCAAUGUGCAAGAGGUGAGUUUAGCAGAACAUUCUGGAAAGUAUAGCCAUAGAGGGUGAUAGUCCCGUAUGCGAAAAACAAACCUUAGCUAGCAGUAUCCUGAGUAGGGCGGGACACGAGAAAUCCUGUCUGAAGCUGGGUCGACCACGAUCCAACCCUAAAUACUAAUACCAGAUCGAUAGUGCACAAGUACCGUGAGGGAAAGGUGAAAAGAACUGAGGUGAUCAGAGUGAAAUAGAACCUGAAACCAUUUGCUUACAAUCAUUCAGAGCCCUAUGUAGCAAUACAGGGUGAUGGACUGCCUUUUGCAUAAUGAGCCUGCGAGUUGUGGUGUCUGGCAAGGUUAAGCAAACGCGAAGCCGUAGCGAAAGCGAGUCUGAAUAGGGCGCUUAGUCAGAUGCUGCAGACCCGAAACGAAGUGAUCUAUCCAUGAGCAAGUUGAAGCUAGUGUAAGAACUAGUGGAGGACUGAACCCAUAGGCGUUGAAAAGCCCCGGGAUGACUUGUGGAUAGGGGUGAAAGGCCAAUCAAACUUCGUGAUAGCUGGUUCUCUCCGAAAUAUAUUUAGGUAUAGCGUUGUGUCGUAAUAUAAGGGGGUAGAGCACUGAAUGGGCUAGGGCAUACACCAAUGUACCAAACCCUAUCAAACUCCGAAUACCUUAUAUGUAAUCACAGCAGUCAGGCGGCGAGUGAUAAAAUCCGUCGUCAAGAGGGAAACAACCCAGACUACCAGCUAAGGUCCCUAAAUCUUACUUAAGUGGAAAACGAUGUGAAGUUACUUAAACAACCAGGAGGUUGGCUUAGAAGCAGCCAUCCUUUAAAGAAAGCGUAAUAGCUCACUGGUCUAGUGAUUUUGCGCGGAAAAUAUAACGGGGCUAAAGUAAGUACCGAAGCUGUAGACUUGCGCACAACUUAGAUUAUUUAAGUUUAGAAUAUGAGAAACUAAGUUAUAUGUUUAGUUAUAUUUUUACUGAUUUUUAUAGAGUAAAGAUAGAAAUAAAACUUAGUAAAAUCAGUAAAAAUAUUCUUAGAUUAAAGUUAAGUAGUUUAAGUUGUGUGCAAGUGGUAGGAGAGCGUUCUAUUUGCGUCGAAGGUAUACCGGUAAGGAGUGCUGGAGCGAAUAGAAGUGAGCAUGCAGGCAUGAGUAGCGAUAAUUAAUGUGAGAAUCAUUAACGCCGUAAACCCAAGGUUUCCUACGCGAUGCUCGUCAUCGUAGGGUUAGUCGGGUCCUAAGUCGAGUCCGAAAGGGGUAGACGAUGGCAAAUUGGUUAAUAUUCCAAUACCAACAUUAGUGUGCGAUGGAAGGACGCUUAGGGCUAAGGGGGCUAGCGGAUGGAAGUGCUAGUCUAAGGUCGUAGGAGGUUAUACAGGCAAAUCCGUAUAACAAUACUCCGAGAACUGAAAGGCUCUCCAAAGUCUUCGGACAGCGGGGAGAACCCCUGAUGCCGUCGAGCCAAGAAAAGUUUCUAAGUUUAGCUAAUGUUGCCCGUACCGUAAACCGACACAGGUGGGUGGGAUGAGUAUUCUAAGGCGCGUGGAAGAACUCUCUUUAAGGAACUCUGCAAAAUAGCACCGUA